rnacentral:rRNA from 1 species
CGGGAAUCUUCCGCAAUGGACGAAAGUCUGACGGAGCAACGCCGCGUGAGCGAAGAAGGUCUUCGGAUCGUAAAGCUCUGUUGUUAGGGAAGAACAAGUAUCGGAGGAAAUGCCGGUACCUUGACGGUACCUGACGAGAAAGCCACGGCUAACUACGUGCCAGCAGCCGCGGUAAUACGUAGGUGGCAAGCGUUGUCCGGAAUUAUUGGGCGUAAAGCGCGCGCAGGCGGUCCUUUAAGUCUGAUGUGAAAUCUUGCGGCUCAACCGCAAGCGGUCAUUGGAAACUGGGGGACUUGAGUGCAGAAGAGGAAAGCGGAAUUCCACGUGUAGCGGUGAAAUGCGUAGAGAUGUGGAGGAACACCAGUGGCGAAGGCGGCUUUCUGGUCUGUAACUGACGCUGAGGCGCGAAAGCGUGGGGAGCAAAC